UGAGACAGAGGGGAAGGUGUUGUCAUCAGAGAGAACGGGGAGCUGGCUGCCAUCUGACCAUUUCAGCGCCUCAAAUCAGAGAGAGCAACUACACACGGAAUGGACCUUAACGAAGUCUCCUCUCAUGACUAACCCUAUAGAGAAAGGAAGAGAGAAAGAAAAAUGUUGACACAAGAGCGAAGCACUGACUGGUUGCCUCCUAUAUGCACGCCUGGACCGGGACUCCUAUGUGCCCACACCUGGGAUCGUCCACGCCCACAUGGGGGAUAGAACCUGCAACCUUCCAGUUCUGGGACAACACUCCAACCAACUGAGCCACACUGGCCAGUGAUGAUUUUAUGUGCAUUUUGGGAGAAUAGUAACCACAACUUUCAGAAGGUUCUCUAAAGGUGACCCAAAAAAGGGUUAAGAGACACCAAAAUAUCUCUCACCUUCACUCAGCCCUGAUUUUCAAGGGCAUCAUAUGAAGCAAUUUCUCAAGGUCAUUUUUGAAACACACACAAUGAACAUGGGAAAUAUGUUCAACACCAGGUUUUAAAUAUCAUGUAUGAAAUUUAGAUAAAGACUUGCUAUACAAGGAGUAUUUACUCAAAUGGUAAUGAAAAGAAGCCUAGAACUGUAAUAAAACCUAACACUUACAAAA